ACCCUGAAUGCAUCAGUUCUUGUCUGAUCUCAGAAGCUAAGCAGGGUC
ensembl:rRNA predicted gene, 23764